AGAGUUUGAUCAUGGCUCAGGAUGAACGCUAGCUACAGGCUUAACACAUGCAAGUCGAGGGGAAACGACAUCGAAAGCUUGCUUUUGAUGGGCGUCGACCGGCGCACGGGUGAGUAACGCGUAUCCAACCUGCCCACCACUUGGGGAUAACCUUGCGAAAGUAAGACUAAUACCCAAUGACGUCUCUAGAAGACAUCUGAAGGAGAUUAAAGAUUUAUCGGUGAUGGAUGGGGAUGCGUCUGAUUAGCUUGUUGGCGGGGUAACGGCCCACCAAGGCGACGAUCAGUAGGGGUUCUGGAGAGGAAGGUCCCCCCANACUUGGAACUGGAGACACGGUCCAAACGUCCUACGGGAGGCA
rnacentral:rRNA from 1 species